AGAGUUUGAUUCUGGCUCAGGAUGAACGCUAGCGGCAGGCUUAACACAUGCAAGUCGAGGGGCAGCGGGUGUAGCAAUACAUGCCGGCGACCGGCGAAAGGGUGAGUAACGCGUGAGCAACAUGCCCGUCUGAGGGGGAUAGUCGAUGGAAACGUCGCGUAAUACCCCGUAACACAUUUCACCGCAUGAUGAGAUGUUGAAAGAUUUAUCGCAGACGGAUUGGCUCGCGUACCAUUAGCUAGUUGGCGGGGUAACGGCCCACCAAGGCGACGAUGGUUAGGGGUUCUGAGAGGAAGGUCCCCACAUUGGAACUGAGACACGGUCCAGACUCCUACGGGAGGCAGCAGUGAGGAAUAUUGGUCAAUGGCCGAGAGGCUGAACCAGCCAUGCCGCCGUGCGGGAAGACGGCCCUAUGGGUUGUAAACCGCUUUUUUGAGGGAGCAAUAAGGCCCACGUGUGGGUCGAUGAGAGUACCUUGAGAAUAAGCAUCGGCUAACUCCGUGCCAGCCGCGGC
rnacentral:rRNA from 1 species